ensembl:lncRNA
UGAGUGUAUAGUGUAGAGUGUAUAGUGUAGAGUGUAUAGUGUAGAGUGUAUAGUGUAGAGUGUAUAGUGUAGAGUGUAUAGUGUAGAGUGUAUAGUGUAGAGUGUAUAGUGUAGAGUGUAUAGUGUAGAGUGUAUAGUGUGUAGAGUGUAUAGUGUAGAGUGUAUAGUGUAGAGUGUAUAGUGUAGAGUGUAUAGUGUAGAGUGUAUAGUGUAUAGUGUAUAGUGUAGAGUGUAUAGUGUAGAGUGUAGAGUGUAUAGUGUAGAGUGUAUAGUGUAGAGUGUAUAGUGUAGAGUGUAUAGUGUAUAGUGUAGAGUGUAUAGUGUAGAGUGUAUAGUGUAGAGUGUAUAGUGUAGAGUGUAUAGUGUAUAGUGUAUAGUGUAUAGUGUAUAGUGUAUAGUGUAGAGUGUAUAGUGUAGUGUAUAGUGUAUAGUGUAUAGUGUAUAGUGUAUAGUGUAGAGUGUAUAGUGUAGAGUGUAUAGUGUAGAGUGUAUAGUGUAGAGUGUAUAGUGUAUAGUGUAGAGUGUAUAGUGUAGAGUGUAUAGUGUAGAGUGUAUAGUGUAGAGUGUAUAGUGUAGAGUGUAUAGUGUAGAGUGUAUAGUGUAGAGUGUAUAGUGUAGAGUGUAUAGUGUAGAGUGUAUAGUGUAGAGUGUAUAGUGUAGAGUGUAUAGUGUAGAGUGUAUAGUGUAGAGUGUAGAGUGUAUAGUGUAG